AUUGAACGCUGGCGGUAGGCCUAACACAUGCAAGUCGAACGAGUGGCGGACGGGUGAGGAAUACAUAGGAAUCUGCUUUGUGGUGGGGGAUAACUAAGGGAAACUUACGCUAAUACCGCAUACAAUCAAAUGGGCCCAGUUGGGUUUAGCUGGUUGGUGGGGUAAAGGCCCACAAAGGCGACGAUCCGUAGCUGGUCUGAGAGGAUGAUCAGCCACACUGGAACUGAGACACGGUCCAGACUCCUACGGGAGGCAGCAGUGGGGAAUAUUGGACAAUGGGCGCAAGCCUGAUCCAGCCAUACCGCGUGGGUGAAGAAGGCCUUCGGGUUGUAAAGCCCUUUUGUUGGGAAAGCGGUACCCAAAGAAUAAGCACCGGCUAACUUCGUGCCAGCCGCCGCGGUAAUUC
rnacentral:rRNA from 1 species